UGACCUCUACAUAGGCAGGGCGAAGCCAGUGGAAACUCUGGUGGAGGUCCGCAGCGGUCCUGACGUGCAAAUCAGUCGUCCGACCUGGGUAUAGGGGCGAAAGACUAAUCAAACCAUCUAGUAGCUGGUUCCCUCCGAAGUUCCCCUCAGGAUAGCUGGCGCUCGGGCCUUCUGAGUUUUAUCCUAUAAAG